CUAAAACUCUUUUGGACUAGAGGAGGAUUUCAAACCAUCAGAGGACCCAGCCACAACCACCUUCCACCUUAAAAUGAUUGGUCCUUUUUCAUUGACUUUAGUAUCCUCUCAGAUACUCUGAAAAGCAGAUGCCCGGGUUUAGCAAUGUAGCAAGUGUUGGAGGGAGACACUUGGACGAAUGAGCCCCACAUGAGGUUUCCCUCCUGAUACUUGUUAUAGGGACCCCAUUUCCUUUGGGGACAGGAGCCUUUCAGCAUCUUUAGGAAGUCAUUGCAAUGAGCAAGCUCAGCAGAGGCCACAGUCAGGUCAUGUGAAAGUUGAUGGUGUCUUGUUCUCUAAUGCUCACAUCACGCCUAUUUUGGUUUCAAAGGGAAGAACAAAGGAAAGCGAAAAGUAAUGACCAGACCAGACAGUGACACCAAUGUAGCAAUAGGUGAUAACGGAAUGGAAGGGAAGCUCAGAGCUCAAAAAUCUCUAAUUGUUGAGCCUAUAGAAACCACCGACCAUGGCUGAGAAUUGGCUCGGGCUGAGCUUUGUCAGUGGCAAAGGGUUAGAGAUGAUGAGGAAGGACAUGGAAGACACAGGAAAGGAGAGACUGCAGUGCUAUGUCUCUGGGAUCACCAAGCAUAGUUGCAGGAUUUGUCUCAGCAAAAAUACUGGGAAGACUUCUCAUCUCCUUCAACAGGUCUCACCAUCUUUUCUCUGCUAUGAACCCUAGGAAGGCACAAUCUUCGAAGGGUAAAGCAGAACGAUAAGCUCCCAUCUGGAAAGCCUGUGACAACCACAAACCCUGCAUUUCUGUAGAAAUCUCCUUCUAAACCACGGAACGAGGCAACACCUACAUGAGAAUUUUCCUAUUACACCCAUUAUCAUUAUAUGCAUCAUUGGAGACAUUAUUCCAAAUACUUUCUGUGACAAAACCGUUUUAGAGAAACUGAAAAUGACCAGUAUGGGAUCACUCAGGAGUUGAUAUGGAAAAGAGGGUGGGAAAAGAGGGACCUGGGAGAGAGGCAUUUGUCCGAGGCAGAUGAAGAAUAGCACGGCAGAAGGGGCACAGACACACGAGUCCCCUGUUCCCAGAGGAAAUUGCAAUGAGCCCAGACAGCUGAGAAAGCUCAGUGGGGAAGAAGCCGCUGAGCUCGCCAAUGGGCAGCACGGGGUGUGCAGCAGAGCUGGCGAUUGCAGCUGCGGAGGUGAGGAGUGCAGUGCGAGCUGAGCGGGAAGAGCCCCUUGCCAUGGCUGAGGCCGCAGAGGCACGGAAUGCUCCGAAUGCCAGUGGCUGAGGGAGCCACGGCGGCUGCUGCUGGACGAGCGAGAAACGCAGCAGGAGCAUUUCAGGCACGGCAAGGACAGGCCAUUGCUCUGCCUGCUGCCGCUGCUGCUCCCGCUGCUCCCGCACACAGUCGUUUCCGGCACCUCUGUUCUCUCGCCGCUGCGACGUGCUUUCUGCCUCUUCCUCACUCAGCAAACACGCAGCUUGCUCUCGCCAUGCACCUCGCACAUCUCAUCCUCACCGUCUUCCUGGCACAGCUCCUCGGCACAUCAGGACAGAUCACGGUCAGCCAGGAAGAUGCACAAGUCACACUGAAGGAGGGACAAACCUUCGACACCACCUGCAAAUACCAGAGCAGUUACUUUUAUGGCUUGCAGUGGUACCAGGUGCGGAAAGGCCAAGCCCCCCAGCUGAUCUCCAUUCAAUCAGUGACUGGCCCCAGGCACAGCGGCCGGAUCACCACGCACCUGAACACCACGGGCAAAUACAGUGUCCUGAAGGUGGAGGAAGUGCAGGUGUCUGACAGUGCCUUGUACCUGUGUGCUGUGCAAGACACCCUGGUGCAGGGAGCUUGCUCGGCUGUGCAACAACCCAGGGGAGGGAGGGGAUGUGUCAGUGCAAGGCUGAGCUAAGGAAAGGGACACAGAUCUCACCCCAGUGCUCACCAUAACUUGCACCGCAUGUGUGUACAAUGGUCUGAUUGUUUUCACUACGUCCAUCGUGACACUUCCAUUGGGAAAACAUUCUGGACAAUUUUCACUCAUUUCUAUAUUGUCCAAUGCCUAAGUAAGGAAAAAUGUCUCCUGUGCAUGCCUGGGACCUUGUCCUUCCACACUCCAGCCCUGCUGCUUUUGGCCCCACAUGUUCCCCAGGGCUGCUUCUGUGUUCCUGCCCUGGCUGCUCUUGCAGCAGCCCCGUUUGCAUGGACACACGUGAGGCACAGAUUGGUGGAUGGCUCCACACUGGUGUGCACGAGCCUGUGUCUGUCCAUGUGUGUCCUUCAGAGGGACGGAAUUCCCUGACUAUGCCAGGGACACCGAGAACUGCUCUGGCCCUGCAGAGCACAGAACAGCACCUUGCCAGGCUCAGAAGGAGCCCGAGUGCAGCUGAAUGCUGCCGGCAGCUGCUGGCAAGAGAUGUGUGCAGUGAAGAGGCGCUGAAAUGCAGCCCCUGUGUCCCGAGCCCUCCCUUUCCUGCCCCUCCAAAACUGACUCUCAGCUGAUGUGGAUGGAUGUGCUUGCGAUGCAGUGUUAGUUGUGUGUGGGACGGGACAUAGCUGUGUUCUGUGCCUGGCCAGGCCAAACUUUUUUUUGUCUCUCGUUGUGGCGGUGCUGCGAGAGGCGGGGGCUGAGGGCGGCCGGGGCGGAGCUGUUGGCGUGGCAGAGGAGGCGGCAGGGCCGCAGCAGAGA